rnacentral:rRNA from 1 species
AACGUAGGACGCAAGCGUUAUCCGGAAUUACUGGGCGUAAAGCGCGUGUAGGCGGUCGUGCAAGUCGGGGGUGAAAGCCCUGGGCUCAACCCAGGAAGUGCAUUCGAUACUGCGCGACUGGAGUCCCGGAGAGGAUGGUGGAACUCUCGGUGUAGAGGUGAAAUUCGUAGAUAUCGAGAAGAACACCGGUGGCGAAGGCGGCCAUCUGGACGGUGACUGACGCUGAGACGCGAAAGCGUGGGGAGCAAACAGG